rnacentral:rRNA from 1 species
GAUGAACGCUGGCGGCGUGCUUAACACAUGCAAGUCGAACGGUGAAGCAGAGCUUGCUCUGUGGAUCAGUGGCGAACGGGUGAGUAACACGUGAGCAACCUGCCCCUGACUCUGGGAUAAGCGCUGGAAACGGCGUCUAAUACUGGAUACGAACCGCAACCGCAUGGUCAGGGGUUGGCAAGAUUUUUUGGUUGGGGAUGGGCUCGCGGCCUAUCAGCUUGUUGGUGAGGUAAUGGCUCACCAAGGCGUCGACGGGUAGCCGGCCUGAGAGGGUGACCGGCCACACUGGGACUUAGACACGGCCCAGACUCCUACGGGAGGCAGCAGUGGGGAAUAUUGCAUAAUGGGCGCAAGCCUGAUGCAGCAACGCCGCGUGAGGGAUGACGGCCUUCGGGUUGUAAACCUCUUUUAGCAGGGAAGAAGCGAAAGUGACGGUACCUGCAGAAAAAGCACCGGCUAACUACGUGCCAGCAGCCGCCGUAA